rnacentral:rRNA from 1 species
UACAGAGGUCUCAAGCGUUGUUCGGAUUCAUUGGGCGUAAAGGGUGCGUAGGCGGCGCGGUAAGUCAGGUGUGAAAUCUCGGGGCUCAACCCCGAAACUGCACUUGAUACUGCCUUGCUAGAGUACUGGAGAGGAGAUUGGAAUUUACGGUGUAGCAGUGAAAUGCGUAGAUAUCGUAAGGAAGACCAGUGGCGAAGGCGAAUCUCUGGACAGUUACUGACACUGAGGCACGAAGGCCAGGGGAGCAAACGGG